rnacentral:misc_RNA from 1 species
UCAGUCGAACAGGGAUCUCAUAUUCUGCGUCGAGCAGGGAUUUCGUAUUCCACAGUCUUUUCGCCACGCGUCCGCACUCGCGAUCAAGAGAAUACAAUCGUGUCUCACGCCAAGUUCACGCGCUUUUUAGCAUAGAUUUUACUCGGUCGUAAACUCGGCUUGCAAUUCCUGUCGCUGACGGUAAAAUAAACUUAGGUACGAGUAUCGUGUCGUCGGUCUGCGAUCACGAUGCAUGAGAGGACUGGCAGAAGGACUCGGAGUGACGUGACAGUGAAUUGAGAACUCCGAUUUUAUUGCAUUAUGUGCAUAGCGAAUCGCGCAGUGCAGUGAUCAUUUUCGAUAAUAUCGUCACGUUCUUGUGAUUAAUUGUUAAACGACACUUUUGCGAGACGAAAGUCUCAACCACGGCAGCAAAAUUGAUCUGGAUUUGCAUCAACGUGCCGCCGCCGGCCACUAUUUAAGAGCCGGCGGCAACAUGCACGACGGUUCCUUCACAGAAACGUUACGGACGAUGCAGGGCAUGACGGGAGCGUCGCCUCCGGGCGCCGGCGUCGCUCACAUGGGAGUUGGCCUUGGUAGUCCGCUAAACACAACGGGUAAAAAGGCACAAGUGCAAGAACACAUCAAGCGGCCGAUGAACGCCUUCAUGGUUUGGUCGCGGCUACAGCGACGGAAGAUUGCACAGGAGAAUCCCAAAAUGCACAACAGUGAAAUUUCGAAGCGCCUCGGCGCCGAAUGGAAACUCCUUACGGAGGACGAAAAACGUCCGUUCAUUGACCAGGCGAAAAGGUUACGCGCUCAGCAUAUGAAGGAACAUCCAGAUUAUAAGUACAGACCGCGAAGAAAACCUAAGACCCUACGGAAAGACGGCUACCCUUACAGCAUCCCUUAUCCGAGUGUGCCCAUGGACGCCCUUCGAGCCGGGAUGGCUGGUAGCAUGGGACAACCUGGAAUGGGCUCUUAUUACGGUCCGGCAGCGGCUUACGGAUCCCUCUCGGCGGCCAGCAUGGCCGCGGCCGCGGCAGCGGCUGCACAGCAGUCGGCGGCAGCCAUGUCCGGUCUCGCGGCACCUGCUCAAGUGGUGAGCUCAAUGGACGCUAUGAAGUACUCGAUGGAGGCUGACAAGUAUCGCUACAUGCCGCCCAGCACCAGCCUGGCGAUGAGCAUGUACCCGGACCCCAAGUACCUGGACUCGAAUCCUAAAAGCUAUCUGGACCGCAGCUACCUAGAUUCGGCGAAAGCGUACCUCGAGCAGUCGAAACUCUACAUGGAUCAAAAGCCAGCAUCGUUCGCCGAUUACAAUCGACCGGCCGGUGGCUACGAGCCCAACAAACUUUACGAAGAAUCCAGCCCGGCGGGCAGCGUCGUCGGCGGUGGCAGCGGACCCGCGCGAUCGCCCGCCGCGGAAUCGCCCGACACGAGCAAGCAACACGAACGCACCGAGCAGGCGUCGUCGAGCGCGAGCUCGACGUCGACGUCGUCGGCCGCGAGCCCGGGCGCAACCCUACCCGCGUACUAUCCCGGCCCGGUGCAAGCUGGCGGUCUGCUGGGCCCGCAAAUGGGCCAGUACGGCGGCUAUCAGACCGCGCCCGCGCCGGGCAACGAGUCUUUCCGCCGGCCACUCACGGUCAUCUUCUGACCCGAUAGAGCGUAGCUCUGAUCCAUCCUCGAGGAGCAGUCGCUAUGAUCGAUGGAUCAGGAUGUUGUGAUUGGCCACCGCGGAUAAAAAUCCACUGCCCGCGGAUCGAUGAUUACGGGGGAAUACAUCGGGACGGGACGUAAUGUCCCACGCAUCGUCGAGAAGAAAAUAAAAACAGCCGCUGCGAAACUCGCUGGAUCGUGAAAUGGCUACCGCGGAUUGAACGGGACGAAGAGUGAAACGUUCGUGUGUGUAAAGUUCUACGAAAAAAAAUUCUCUCUCUUAGCUCGAUGAAUUUUCUCAUUAUAUUAACGUUCGCGAAUUUCGUCCGACGGCCGUUGACGGUCGUGCCGAUAGCUCUAAAAUUAUCAUCAAGAAGCAGUCGCUGUGUGAUCGCUGGAUCGUGAUGGCAACUGCGGAUUUAACGGAACCGGAUAUUACGACGAUGAAGAGCCGAGCUGAUUUCUCGGAAUUGCGAUGGCUACUGUAGAAUCAACGGAAAAGAAUGACGCGCUCUAAUUUCUCGAGUAUCACGAAUCACCAAUCCAAGGAUCGAAGAUAUGCACCCGAAACGGAUGUAUUGUGAUACGUCCACGAGAAGAGCAGUUGUUAGUUGGAUCGUGAAAUGGCUGUCGCGCAUUUGACGGAGCAGAAGUGUAAUAUUACGUGUGAUAGAGUUUUAGAAAAUAUCCUUUUAAUUUUUUUAGAUGAAUUUUUUGGUUUCCAUCACAUCUCCCGACAAUGACAACCGAUAGUUACUUCCUCAUCGUAGUUCAGCCACGGAUUGAACAAGAACUCGCACCAAAUAAAGAAAUCCUCAGUUUUGGAAAAGGUGCUAGCAAUCUUUGAAGAACUUUAAUAAAUGAGACGACGAUAGCUCGAGAGCGAUAGAUGGAAAUCUCACUGGAUCAAUUAAACGAUACGUCGAGAAUAAAGUUAUGCAGGGCAAAAUUUACAAAUAUUAUAUCAGUAUCGACAAAUUUAAGCUGACCAAUUCCCAUCUGGUACGCGACGAUUCUCGUACCAUUGUAUUUUUGGCGUCGUAGAUAUUCAUGAUUCCCACUGAUGUGCGCGCGACGGAUAAUUUUGGAGAAACCAAGGACGAUGUAACGACGAUGAAAUGUCGUUGCGGAUAACAACGAAGACAAGAGAGGACUCUCCCUCUCGCUGUAUCGUCAGCUGACUAGUCUUGAUCGUGAGACCAUAUUAAGAACACACACAAUUGUACAUAGCCCCUGUGUAAAUAGUGUAGCAAAAACUUGGCUUUUUCCGGGUCUCCGCGCGCGAAUCCGCUUUCUUACGGAGUUUCCAUUGCGGAGCGCAGAGAAUCUCCAACGUGGCCUCCGACGAGAAAGCAGUACAAAUGGAACCGUGUGCAUGCGCGGUGUCCGAAAUCUGCUACGAGCAUUCUGUUGCGUUGGAAUAACGUAAGCAUAUUCUUUCUUGUUUAUUGUUUCUUUUUCUCUCAACUCUCAACCGGCACGACAAACGUAUUUAAUCGCUUGCACAAGGCAACGGAAAAAUAAUAAGACUAAUCUUUUUUUCACGAACUAGCAACAUUGCAGACUACGUCGAGCCGAGAGCAACAUUCUUACACUAACUUCUGUACAAGUUUCAAUUCGCUAGUGCAAACAUAUGGUUCUACAAUCAUCUGUAUUAAUGUGUUGGUAAUGCGUCUCGAAAAUGAAAAAAAUAUCAAACAACUUUAUAUAAUCAAGUUUUCUAUAAUACUAAAAAAGAAUCUCACCAAAACGUAUUUAAAAAUCUAUUUAAAAAAAUGAUUUUUUUAUCUCGUGCAUAAAUCUUUCUGUUGACACAAGAUAUUUUUUAAAAACAUUUGAAAGAUAAGCUCUCGAUUUGAGUGCUUUAUUUAACAUAUAAAGACCAGCAUUUGUCGAAAUCGAUGACAAUGCAAAUAAUCAUUGAGAAAAAGACUUUUAUGAGUUUUUUUUCCUCGGUAAAUCGUGAAAUCGUUAUGUACAAAUAAUCAAUAAUGUAGAACCAAGCGUGAUCAAGCUAGCAAAUUGAAAUUUGCGCAGAAGUUAGAGUAAAAAUGUAGCUUUCAGCUUGACGUAGUCUUGUUUUUGCUAAUUCUUCAGAAAAAAAUAUAGUAUCAUUAUUUUUCUGCUCGUGCAAUACGUUCGAGCUGCAAAAGCUUAGCAGUUAUGUUCGUAUAAUUCUAGAAUUGUAAGAUGUUACUUUCUAACUCACGCGUUAAAAGUGAAAGUAAUUUUAUCAUCGAGAAUUUUCGUCAGUAAUUUAAUUACUUUAAUUACUCAAAAUCAGUGUCUCCGGUUGCAGAUUGAAAACUUGGAUGUCGUCCUUCUCUGUACCAUUAAAUUUGUGAGUAUAAAACUUCACAAGAAAUUCCACUCUAUCUAUAAUUGUAUUUUUAUUAAAUGUAUGAAUUCCAUUUUUAUUUUUAUUAAGUAAUUAUAUUUAAU